rnacentral:misc_RNA from 1 species
GGAACUGCAUUGCACGAGAGAAUUCAACAGGUUCCCUUGAAGACUUUCUUGCGGAUGUUGCUGCUUCACAUCAUCAAGGAGGCAGUGGUUCCGGCGCACAUACCACCAGAAAUUGGCGAACACACCGGAGCGCACAUGAUGGCAGUGACAGCGAGUCCGAAAAUGUGGACCUUAACUCUUGGACAAGAUCUGGUGGUCCUCUGAUGAGGACAACAUCUGCUGAUAAGUUUAUCGACUUUGUCCAGAACUUGGAGAUUGGUUCACGAUUGAACAAAGGAUUGACUAUUGACCUCAACAAUCUCGUUCCUCAGAUGGCUGGUAGAGACCUGUUCUCCCCGAGCCCAAGGG